AUGGAGCCAGCGGCGGCGGCGACGACGCUCUGGAGAGCGCGAGCGCUACCCAUCCUGCUGGCCAUGCUGGCGGCGGCCGUGGCCGCGAGCGCGCGCGGGGGCGCGGAGAGGGCGCCCACGCUGGUGUUCAUCCUGGCGGGGCAGUCCAACAUGGGCGGCCGGGGCGGCGCCACGUCGGGGAACCGCUGGGACGGGGUGGUGCCGCCGGAGUGCGCGCCGUCCCCGCGCACGCUGCGCCUCUCCCCGUCGCUCCGCUGGGAGGAGGCCCGCGAGCCGCUGCACGCCGGCGUGGACGCCGGCAACGUGGUGGGCGUGGGCCCCGGGAUGCCGUUCGCGCACGCGCUGCUCCGGUCCCCCGCCUGCCCGCGCGGCGCCGUCGUGGGGCUCGUCCCCUGCGCGCAGGGCGGCACCCCCAUCGCCAACUGGUCCCGCGGCUCCGAGAUGUACGAGCGCAUGGUGGCCCGCGCCCGCGUCGCCGGCGCCGGGACGGGGAGGGUCGCCGCGCUGCUGUGGUUCCAGGGCGAGGCCGACACCCUGCGGCGCGAGGACGCGCUGGCCUACGCCGGCAGGAUGGAGGCGUUUGUCCGGGACGUCCGCCGCGACCUCGCCCUGCCCAACCUCCUCGUCAUCCAGGUUGGGAUCGCGACGGCGCAGUGGCAGGGGAAUCAGCAGGGCAAGUGGCUGGAUCUGGUGCGGAAGCAGCAGAGGGCGGUGCGCGUGCCGAACCUCAAGUACGUGGACGCCAUGGGGCUCCCCAUUGCCAACGACAUCACCCACCUCACCACCCAGGCGCAGGUCCGGCUCGGCAAGAUGCUCGCCGCCGCAUACAUAUCCACGCUCUGA
rnacentral:rRNA from 1 species